GGGUCAGUAGCUCAGUUGGUAGAGCAGAAGCCUCUUAAGCUUUUUGUCCCGGGUUCAAGUCCCGGCUGACCCACCA
rnacentral:tRNA from 1 species